AUUGCUCCUCAUAUUGCUAUCUCUCCUCUUCUUUGAUCUUUGCUUUGGGAGAACAUGGGCUAUCUCUUUUUCUUCUUUUUUUUCAGGUGGGUAGUAGAUACCCCUAAUUCUACUGUCGGACACUUGUCCAUUUUUUCCGCUCAAGUGGGCAUCUUUGUACCCCUAAUUCUACUCCGGACACUUGUCCAUUUUUACCUCUCGUCUCACUCUUUUUCUUUCUUUUCCGAGGUUCCGGGCACUUGCCCCUUUUUAUUUCCUCGCAUAUUUUUGCAUAACCCAUGCCUCUUCUGCAUUGAAUCUUUUUAGAGAGAGAAUAACAAUAUUUGGGACAAUGAGUGAUAAUAUUUUAAGCAAUUUUAAUGAGUGGUGAUGGAUGGUGUAGUAGAUGUAUGCAAGUGAAUAUCUUAAUUUAACCACAUGAAAAACUCCUAAGGGUCUACACAGCUCGAUCAAACUCAAUGUGAAUAUAAGUAAACGAUGUUAUAGCAAGUAUGGCUGUGGUAGGUAGUUUUGUUAUGCUAGGAACUCAUCAUGUGAUUUGUAAGUUUUCAAAAUAAAUCUCCACAACUUAGUGUAGUAGGAACAAGAUAAACAGCAGCUCAACUUUAUAUCAUGCCAUUCUCUUACCUAGACUUUAGUUUUAUGCUUCCCAAAGAUAGUAAUUUUAGUUUUAGUAAUUCCUGGAAGAACUCUAAUAUAAAAGCUAGGUACUUAAAAGUAAGCAAACAGAGCAACUGUUCAUUAUUUCCAUCAUGCAUCUUUU
rnacentral:lncRNA from 1 species